rnacentral:tRNA from 1 species
GUCUUCAUGGUCUAGUCGGUUAUGACGUGAGUUGAGAUCCGAAGGUCGCGAGUUCGAUUCUCGCUGAGGACA